rnacentral:tRNA from 1 species
CGACGCGUAGCUCGAAGGCAGAGCGGGCGGCUCAUAAUCGCAGGGUUGCCGGUUCGAGUCCGGCCGCGUCGA